GUUGUCAUAAGUGCAACAGCCGCUUCGGUCCCAACCCUACUCACCCGAUGAAGGAGUGAAAAACAUCUAUUACCUUUCGGUAGUAACCGAAUCUCAGACUAAGAAAAAAUGAGAAGGCUUCAAGAAUUUGCUGAGACAACGUGAUCCAAACCAUCUAGUCGAAAUUGUCACUAAGACCAGCUGAGACAAGCUGAGGUAUCAGCUACUUGAUACGACCAUGGAUAGUCUCUUUGAGAUUUUGACGCAUAGACGAAGAUGUCUGAAGCAGAAGAAAGAAUGUCAUUAAAACUACAUGCGAAAUUGAGAUGACACCGUGUAUUUUAGCAAGGACUAGCGAAACCUUACCGUGUUUCCUUGUAGCAGUGAUAGACUAGAACAAAUAAAUGUGCGAGCACAACUUAUAAA